UACGGUGGAUGCCUUGGCAGCCAGAGGCGAUGAAGGACGUGAUAGCCUGCGAUAAGCGUUGGCGAGGUGGCAAAUACCCUGCGACCCAACGAUUUCCGAAUGGGGAAACCCACUCACCAUCAGGUGAGUAUCUAUAGGCCAAUACAUAACCUAUAGAGGCAAACCCGGGGAACUGAAACAUCUAAGUACCCGGAGGAAAAGAAAUCAACCGAGAUUCCCCAAGUAGCGGCGAGCGAACGGGGACCAGCCCUUAAGCGAUACAACUGACAGACGAACAAGCUGGGAAGCUUGACGAUACAGGGUGAUAGUCCCGUAGUCGAAGUCUGAGUAUCGUGAAAUCGAGUAG
rnacentral:rRNA from 13 species